AUGAGAAAGGGUCUCUGGCCCAACCUCAAACCCACAAUGUCUACAUCACUUUGUUGCCUCGGCAGAGCGUCUGUUACAGGCCAUUGGCAUUUAUGCUAAUGAGUCUCUGCCGAUGGGAUUUUACACUCUGUCUCAAGUUUUCUGAAACAAACGCAAAUAAAACCA
rnacentral:misc_RNA from 1 species